rnacentral:rRNA from 1 species
AGCGAACGCUGGCGGCAGGCUUAACACAUGCAAGUCGAGCGGGCCCUUCGGGGUCAGCGGCCGACGGGUGAGUAACACGUGGGAACGUACCCUUUGGUUCGGAAUAACGCUGGGAAACUAGCGCUAAUACCGGAUACGCCCUUUUGGGGAAAGGCUUGCUGCCGAAGGAUCGGCCCGCGUCUGAUUAGCUAGUUGGUGGGGUAAUGGCCUACCAAGGCGACGAUCAGUAGCUGGUCUGAGAGGAUGAUCAGCCACACUGGGACUGAGACACGGCCCAGACUCCUACGGGAGGCAGCAGUGGGGAAUAUUGGACGAUGGGCGCAAGCCUGAUCCAGCCAUGCCGCGUGAGUGAUGAAGGCCUUAGGGUUGUAAAGCUCUUUUGUCCGGGACGAUAAUGACGGUACCGGAAGAAUAAGCCCCGGCUAACUUCGUG